AGAAUCAACGCUGGCGGCGUGCCUAACACAUGCAAGUCGCACGAGAAAGGGAGUUCGCUCCUGAGUAAAGUGGCGCACGGGUGAGUAACACGUGAAUCAUCUACCUCCGAAUGGGGAAUAACUGAGAGAAAUCUUAGCUAAUACCGCAUAAUACCUACGGGUCAAAGCAGCAAUGCGUUUGGAGAGGAGUUCGCGGUCGAUUAGUUAGUUGGCGGGGUAAUGGCCCACCAAGACGAUGAUCGAUAUCCGGCCUGAGAGGGCGCACGGACACACUGGAACUGAAACACGGUCCAGACUCCUACGGAGGCAGCAGUGGGGAAUUUUGCGCAAUGGGGGAAACCCUGACGCAGCAACGCCGCGUGGAGGAUGAAAUAUCUUGGUAUGUAAACUCCUUUCGAUGGGAAGAUAAUGACGGUACCAUAGAAGAAGCCCCGGCUAACUUCGCGCCAGCAGCCGC
rnacentral:rRNA from 1 species